rnacentral:lncRNA from 1 species
GGGACAAAACCUUGAUGAGGGAAAAAGAGUAAAGCCUCCAAGGCCUAGGGAUUGGCCAGUGAGUCUUUGUGCCUUACCAACAAUGUAAGGGACACAAAGACUCUGGAUCUCGGCCCCUUCUUGUGAUGCAAGGUAGAUCACAUCUUCUCUUGCUCAUCACUCUUCAUCUUGUACUCAUCUCACGGUCUGAUCUCCUUCACUUCCCUUUUCACCUAACCGGCUUGCUAGAUGACUAGAAUGGAACCUUCAGAUCAUCCUCUCAAGAGUAUCAAGUAAUAGCUGAGCCUUGGCUGCUUCUUCUUCUAGAGUUUCCACCUUGUUCUAAAGCUUCAUGGUCGGAUGCCUCAGCCUGUAGUACCAAGGCUGCUCUGCUUUGGCCGCCUUGGAGAUUGCUUCACCAUCCUCCAUCUUGCUUCACAAACCAGUCGGCUCCUCUUCUUGAAUAACCGCCAAGUGCUCUCAUCAAGAAGCCUUCUCAACACUCCCCCUCAAGCUUGACCAUGUGGAACAAGUCAAGCUUGGAAGGAGAGCUUCUUGAUCUUCUACAUUUGCUCACUGCCGUCCACCUUCUUGAACCGGCACCUUUGUGAUCAUUUGAAGUCUUCUCAACACUCCCCCUCAAGCUUGACCAUGUGGAACAAGUCAAGCUUGGGAGAGCAGCUUCAUGAUCACACCAUCAGACCCUUGCAACACUUCUUCAACUCGCCAUCUUCAGGGAAUGCUCUUGUGGAACUUUCUUCUUCUGCUCACUUAACUCCCCUCCUCAAGCUUGAAUAGAAUGAGGGUCCAAGCUUGGAAGUGAGCAGCCGUGAGUCUUCACUAACCAGUGGCACAUAACCACUUCAGUAACUGCUCUCCAUUGCUCAUGACAAUGGGCAAUGCCUUCCUCUUUCUCUUGGAUUGGUGAAGAACUAAGAACACUCCUUGUGCACCUGAAACACCACUCAACCUCCAGAGAAGAUUAGACAUAGGUGCAUUGGGUCAGUCCUUGAUUCCACAUCAAGCUUGAACACCAAUGUCUCACUAAAGCAAUGCAAGAUCAAACAAGACAUCCAAGUUUCAAAUCAUUGCAAGCUCAACUCUCUAAGUUCUAGUAUGAUCCUACAGAUUCAUUACAAGACACUUAGGCAAUUUUUGACAGCUCCUUUACUCAGCUACUAGACAUUAAUCUAGUGCCUCAAUGUAAGGUAACUUCAAGCCACUAUGCACUAGCUUUCAGUCGGUUUUAACUCAUGUAUGCAAGCAGAUUCAAUCAAUCACAACAAGCACUACAAUGAACCGGAGCUAAGCAUUUUAAAAUUAAUCUCAAUCACCAAACAAGUCUCUUUAAGCAUCCUGAGAUAGAUUCUAAAUUCAUUUCAUUUCAUUUAGCAAUCUUUAAACAAUCCUCAGGUUUUCAAUCACAUCACAACACACAACCAGAUCUUAUCACAAGCUCAUUAUCACUUAAGGUUUAAAGAAUCGCUUACUAUCAAGGAACCAGGUUGGUCCUUGUAUCACUCUCGGAUGGUAAGCUCAUGACUUUGAGGAUAUGUGAGUCUGGAUCGUUACCCAUCUCCUUCUCCUUCAGUUCAUGACUUCCUCCUUGUUUCUCAUACUCACAAACCCCUCCUUUCUUCAAGCCCUCUACUCGCCAUCUUCUGGAUAGCUUUCUCUUCACACCAGAUGAGGAACAGCCUUUGGACAAGGCGCCAUGGACAAGGUUCGCGAGGCCUCUCCACACACCUUUGCUUCCAACAAGAGUCUUCAUCAGGUACAGGUUGAACUGGCUGAGAGAUAAGGAGUAACACGCCAUGCUUCAGUCUUCU